GGGCCUGUUACGGAUUCGAUUGCAAGCGGAUUUCGUCGGACGCACGUCGGAGGCUCGGCUCCGUAAAAACGGAAAAAAAGUUAAAUGCUGAUAAUAAAAGCAGAAGAUCUACCGUUGCGCGUCGUACUCGCCGCGUAGCGCUUGCGGCUUAACUAAGUUAAGCUCCGUUCCGCCCCGAUUGCCUACGGUCGGGAGCGGAGCGUCAAACGAGUAGGGAACGUUGCGCGGCGGUUGGUUUCCCCCGUCGUGCGAUGAAUUUCGGAAACGUGCCUGCGGAACAGGAUGUCUACGGACUGUCCGCGGGCGAGAUUCGACCAUAGACUAAACGUGUAGUGUCCGCGGAAGAACCUUGUAAGACCGCAGUUCAACUCUGCGCAGGUCCACCA
rnacentral:tmRNA from 1 species